ACACAGUUUAAACAUAUACAGGUGAAACUCGAAAAAUUAGAAUAUCGUGCAAAAGUUAAUUUAUUUUAGUACUGCAACUUAAAAGGAGAUGCAUUAAUGCAACCUAAAAUUAGAAAAUUAGGGAAAGGUUCAAUAUUCUAGGCUCAAAGUGUCACACUCU